CUAUUAGCUAGCGGAGGUAUUCGUAUGUAUUUGACCGGAAAUGAAUGUCCGGGAAAGAAUCUACCAUAUGAAAUCGUUUGUAUUUCGUAUGAAGACUUUUGAAGUGCAAUUGAAAAGAGGACCUCCGUAACGAGAUCAAAGAUGUACACCAGCUGUGCAGGGUGAAGAGGUUAUCUCAAACGCCCUUAAUUGGGCCACAGCCCAAUUAAGAGCGACUCAAAUGUCAUUACCGCUAAGUACUUCUUGCCAUUUGAGUCAGCAUGUUAGAGCUAGUCACUACGGAUUGUGGUGACACAGCACUGGACUGCCUGCAGAAGUUAAUCGCAUAUAGUCAUUUCACUAGCAAUGUGCCUGAUCCAACGGAGCCUUUGGGGUUGCUUCACCGGUCCACAGACCGAUGAGAGUGUGCAGCUGCAGAUUAUUAAAGCUCUGCUGACUGUAAUGACAAGCCAGCAUGUGGAGGUAUACGAGGAUGAUCAACGUGAUCUUCGCGCGAAUGGAGACUCAGGCGGAGGAAGAGAACGUGAGGCUUGAUGGGGAACAUCAGCAGGAGGGUUCUGUCAUAGCAAACGGCAAAACUGAAGCUGAGCUAAGUCUUAGUUAGCUAAGUCUAACUAGCUCAUCUAACAUCUUCAUGAAACUUUACGUUGCGUGCGUCUAUUUAAUGACGAUGGAUGUAGAAAGCUCUUCAAAUCACUUCGAGAGGAUUAUCAAAAGCGAUCUCCUUAUAUCGCAUAUUUAAUCAGAUGUCGUCAGGGAUUGCUGUCGACAUUAGCUCACUUAGAUAGAUUAUGCGUGCGAGUUAAGUGCGAUCGGGAUGCUAUCAAUAAUCAUCUUGUAUCCGUUUGUGUGAGGGUAUUUUUGGAAAAAAAGAUGGCUUUCCUCCUGCGUUUCUGCGAAGAGUUUAAAAAGCUUACGCUAGCUGACGAGAAACAGGAUCUCGUGGAUAAUUGUCUAGGGAAGGUCCAUGUGGAAAUGGACAACGAUCCGAUUUGACAAUCGGCAAGCGCCAACCAGUUAGAUUUGGCGAGAGUCGUGGUGGAAAGAACCGUCAUGGCACGGAUAUAUACCACAAUGCGCUCUAUCUAAAUAAAGAUGGAGAUGUAUAUAGGGACCAGCUUUUUCACGGUCAUAUCAAUAAGUUGGCAAAGGUUGUAACUCCAAAUCACAGGGACCUACGCGCGCAUUUCAAAAGUUUAUCAUUACGAAUGCCCCUGGUCAUGGGCGCAGGCUGAAUUGGCUGUGAUAUCGGCGUAUAAGACUCCUAGAGAUAAGUUGCAGUGUGUAUUUCGUUGCGCGACUACCAUCAUCUCUUCUCCAUGGCGUCGGGAAGAGGCAUACCUGCUGCCGACGAUCUGACUCCCGUGCUGGUCUACAGACUAAUCCGCCGUCGUUGUAUCGACUGUUCAAUAUGUAGACAGCUUUUACGGGAAUCGAUUGGAGGGAGA